ACUCCUACGGGAGGCAGCAGUAGGGAAUCUUCCACAAUGGGCGCAAGCCUGAUGGAGCAACACCGCGUGAGUGAAGAAGGGUUUCGGCUCGUAAAGCUCUGUUGUUAAAGAAGAACACGUAUGAGAGUAACUGUUCAUACGUUGACGGUAUUUAACCAGAAAGUCACGGCUAACUACGUGCCAGCAGCCGCGGUAAUACGUAGGUGGCAAGCGUUAUCCGGAUUUAUUGGGCGUAAAGAGAGUGCAGGCGGUUUUCUAAGUCUGAUGUGAAAGCCUUCGGCUUAACCGGAGAAGUGCAUCGGAAACUGGAUAACUUGAGUGCAGAAGAGGGUAGUGGAACUCCAUGUGUAGCGGUGGAAUGCGUAGAUAUAUGGAAGAACACCAGUGGCGAAGGCGGCUACCUGGUCUGCAACUGACGCUGAGACUCGAAAGCAUGGGUAGCGAACAGGAUUAGAUACCCCUGGUAGGAUAGCG
rnacentral:rRNA from 1 species